UGCUUAUGAUGAUAAAUCUAAGGAAUUUUUUCAAGAACAUCCGCAGUUGCUGAUUAAGUGCUUUGCCUUUCGCUGGGCUUGAGAGCUGAUGCUGCUUUAUUCCUUCCUAGGAUGUCUGAAGCA